AUUAACGCUAGCGGCAGGCAUAAUACAUGCAAGUUGAACGGCAGCACAGGUAGCAAUACCGGGUGGCGAGUGGCGCACGGGUGCGUAACACGUAUGCAACCUACCCUAUACAGGCGAAUAACCUUUAGAAAUGAGGGCUAAUACGCCGUGGUAUUAUCUUGGGGCAUCUUGAGAUAAUUUAAAGAUUUAUCGGUAUAGGAUGGGCAUGCGUCCCAUUAGUUAGUUGGUAGGGUAACGGCCUACCAAGGCUAUGAUGGGUAGGGG
rnacentral:rRNA from 1 species